ensembl:snoRNA Gm25520 small nucleolar RNA SNORA36 family
UUUCAUAUUGUUUAGUUCAGUUCAGGGAAGCUUUCAUGUUCUGUGAAUUAAACUUUGGGACAUUGAAAUUGGCAAAGAUGGGGCUGGGGAGAUGGCUCAGCAGUUAAGAGCACCAAAC